rnacentral:rRNA from 1 species
GUGGGGAAUAUUGGACAAUGGGCGAAAGCCUGAUCCAGCCAUGCCGCGUGUGUGAAGAAGGUCUUCGGAUUGUAAAGCACUUUAAGUUGGGAGGAAGGGCAGUAAGUUAAUACCUUGCUGUUUUGACGUUACCGACAGAAUAAGCACCGGCUAACUUCGUGCCAGCAGCCGCGGUAAUACGAAGGGUGCAAGCGUUAAUCGGAAUUACUGGGCGUAAAGCGCGCGUAGGUGGUUUUGUAAGUUGGAGGUGAAAUCCCCGGGCUCAACCGUGGAACUGCCUCCAAAACUGCAUGACUAGAGUACGGUAGAGGGUAGUGGAAUUUCCUGUGUAGCGGUGAAAUGCGUAGAUAUAGGAAGGAACACCAGUGGCGAAGGCGACUACCUGGACUGAUACUGACACUGAGGUGCGAAAGCGUGGGGAGCAAACAGGAUUAGAUACCCCGGUAGUCC